AACCUGGUUGAUCCUGCCAGUAGUCAUAUGCUUCGUUCAAGGGCUAAGCCAUGCAUGUCUCAGCGCACUCGGCCGUAUGACAGAGGGUCUGUGAAUGGCUCCUUACAUCAGCAGUCAUCUUCGUGACAGCGUGUGGUUGGCACCGCUCUUACCAGAGGAAAGAGAGAGAAGAGCGAUGCGAUCCCCUCCCCCUGGAAUAUGGGGGCAGGAGAGAGAGACGGGGGAUCGUGUCGCCUCCCUUGCAUCAAUCAUUUGCUACCGCGCCAGGUGCCCAGUUGGACAUCCUCCAAAACCUUGUGGCUAAUACACGGAGGCUCGGGUCAGCCACCUAUGACGUACCAUGUUUGUACUGCCUCCACUUCCCCAUCAGCAUCUCGCAACGGCUGCCGUGUCGUGUGCUUUGUGGGGUCUUGCCACCCACACCACGACCGAGCGAGAGAGGAGGAAGCGAGGGGGAGAGAGAGAGAGGGACAGACUCCGAGCGAGAAGAGGGGAGAAGCGACAAGCAAGCAGAGAGCAGCGUCAGGCACCGAGACACACGGACAGACAGGGUCAGUCAGACAGAGAGAGAAGGGGCCGCCGUCCGGACGGCGACGCCACACAGCCGCACAGAAAAAGGGGGGGCGGGACCGGCCGCCGCCCAAAAGACGGAGAGAGGGCCGUCCGUCUGCCGCCUUCCUGUUUUCCUGGUUCGUGGUGGUGUGAUCAACCAUCAUCAUCAUCUGCCUCGCCGCCAGUSUGGCCCUGGCGUGCCCCGCCCGAUUGUGUCUGUCUGGGUGUGCCGUGCCCAAUCAAUCAUCAUGGACGUAUGCAUGUGCUGUCGCCACAUGUGCUGCUCCCUCUUCUCCAGGGGAGGUGUCGUUGUGCGGGUCCACCAGACGGUCCUCCGCGGCCGCCGGUGCCCGGUGGUGGAUUGCCCCCAGCCGUCAGGAAGACCAGCGUCCUCUGUGUGCCACCAUCCUYUUVUGCCUUUCCUCGUCCUUCCCGCCGCACAAGAGCCAACAACCGCUCCAGCCGCACAACCCCCAACGCGAGAGAGAGAGAGAGAGAGACCGUUGUGGGGAGCUGGAGCGGGGAGCGGACGGGAGGGAGAGAUGGGAGAGAUGGGGGGCAAGGGCAGGACAGCACGCUUCACAAGGACGAUUCAGGSUGGUCACCCCAGAGAAGAGAGAGAGAGAGAGAGGAGACGCGCUCUCCUCCCACACCUGCCGUAUACUGGGUGGUGUGUGUGUGCCUGUCGUGUGGGGACAGCUGCGCUGGCAGAUUGAAGGGAGCCGAAGGGAAGAGCAAAGCCCGAUAUGCCGCUGUUGUGGGUGGUGGCACGCGUUGCCCCACCCCGCCACGCUUUCUGGUGUGUUCAUUUCAUUCAGAACAACCCAAUAACCGCUUGGUCACACGAACUUCUGACCUAUCAGCUGUGAUUGUGGUGUAGUGGACCACAAUGGCGGUGACGGGUAACGGAGAAUCAGGGUUCGAUUCCGGAGAGGGAGCCUGAGAGACGGCUACCACUACCAAGGUGGGCAGCAGGCGCGCAAAUUGCCCAAUACCAACACACCUGGUGAGGCAGCGACGAACCGCAGCAAUCCCGCCAACCCUUAUGCGUUGGCGGGACUUGGAAUGGAUGCAAUCCAAAAACCGUGAUGAGUAUCAACUGGAGGGCAAGUCUGGUGCCAGCAGCUGCGGUAAUUCCAGCUCCAAGGGCGUAUACUAUCAUUGCUGCUGUUAAAACACCUGUAGUCUGCCGCUGGGUUUGCAGGUCUGCUGGGCGGCCCCGGCCAAACCACAGAAGGGUGCGGUGGCACCGCAGGGGGUCCUCGCGACCGCCGGCCCGCCUCCUCCCCUUCUUCCCUUCGGCCGGGACAACCCCCGGCGGGUAUUCGCUCCUGCGCCCGAGGUUUUGUGAGAAUCGCUGAUGGUGAGAAGCGCUCCUGCCGAAAGCCCCCUUCACUGGGGGCCGAGGCGGUCUCGCCCCACAAGCAGGCGUGGGCCACAUAUGCAUCAUGUGCCGCACAGAGAGGACGAAGAGAGAGAGAGGUAUACGUCGUGUGUGCUUGGCUGCCCUGUGCUGGUUGUUGUUGCUUUGCUGCUGUGCGCCCACCACCGGAGCCCACCAUCGCUGACACCGUGGAAAACUCAGUGUGCUUCAAGCGUCCUCCUCGCUUUUCUGCGUUGCCUCCUUCUCCAGGGGAGGGGUGGGGGAGUCGGUGGGGAAGUCCGCUUCCCCGUCGCUCCCUCCCGUGUCCCCCGGUCCUGGCAACUGGCUGGAUGCUCAUCCAUGGAAUGUCAAGGCAUCGACCGGACGUGGCAUUGUGGAGUUGUGCUGGCCUUGGAGCCCGUCCAGGGCAAUGAUGGCGCCCCCGUCGUCCCCACACCGCAAACUGCAACGCCCCACAAAGGCGGCGCGUUGUGUGUGUGGGGGCACAGCACAGGGGGCCGCCAGCCGACCAUUGAUGGGACCGCUCAGGGUGGAAGGUAUUGUGGCGCCAGAGGUGAAAUUCUUAGACCGCCGCAAGACCAGCGGCGGCGAAGGCGCUCUGCAUGUGCGUGUUCGUCGAUCAAGGAUGAGAGUCCGGGGAACAAAGAUGAUCAGACACCGUCGUAGUCCGGCACUGUAAACCGUGCCAGCCCGGCUUCCGUGGGGAAAGUCCAAUCGACCCCGCGGGCGCCACGCCCCCUACACCGAGAAAUCCACAGCCUGUGGGUUCAGGGGGGAGUACGGUCGCAAGGCUGAAACUUAAAGGAAUUGACGGAAUGGCACCACAAGGCGUGGAGUAUGCGGCUUAAUUUGACUCAACGCGGGGAAUGUUACCGGGUCCGGACGCAGCUGGGAUGGACAGACUGAGGGCUCUUUCUUGAUCCUGUGGACGGUGGUGCAUGGCCGCUCCUGAUUGGUGGAGUGAUUUGUCUGGUUGAUUCCGAUAACGAGUGAGACAUCUCCCUCCCACUAGCCUCGGGCUCGCAUCUGGUAGGGUUCCGGACCGGGGCCGUCCGGCGCCAUCCCGUCGUGUGUCGUGGGGAGAGGGGCGUUCGCGCCCCGCCUCUCCCGCACACCCCUGGGAAGGCGUGCGGGACGCCCGCGUCCCCCGAGAGCCCCGAGAUCUCAAUUCGCUUCUCUGAGGUGCUGUGUACGCUGCCAAGUGCACGCAUGCUAGAGCCAACAGCAGGUCUGUGAUGCUCCCAGAUGUCCUGGGCCGCACGCGCACUACAUUGGCACGGCGAAGGAGCCCUGGUGCCCCUCCCUUCUCCCCUCCCUUGACCGAGGGAGGAGAAGGGGGCCCUGGCCGGAGGUGGCUGGGAAACCCUGCAAGCCCGUCUUCUCCCGCCCCCCGCCCUCACCGGCGGUCGGGGUGGCUGGCCGUACUGGGGAUCGGCGAUUGCAACUGUCCGCCUUGAACGUGGAAUGCCUAGUAGGCGUCGGUCAUCAGCCGACACCGAUUGCGUCCCUGCCAUUUGUACACACCGCCCGUCGUUGCUACCGAUGAUGGCUGGAUAGAAGCAUCAGGAGGCCGGGGCGCACAGGACAAACAGAGCGCCCACCACCACCAGCAGAGAGAGAGAGAGAGAGAGAGGGGGAACGGCAACAGCACGCCCCCACACACCACCACCACCACCAUCAUCGUGUGUGUGUGUGUGUGGGUGGGUGCGCCUGUCUCGUGUGUGCGUGUGUGUGGCGGUCCCGGCCGAAAUUGGAUGAUGCCCAKCUGUUAGAGGAAGCAAAAGUCGUAACAAGGUUGCUGUAGGUGAACCUGCAGAAGGAUCAA
rnacentral:rRNA from 1 species